UGGGGAAUCUUGCGCAAUGGGCGAAAGCCUGACGCAGCGACGCCGCGUGAGUGAUGAAGGCCCUCGGGUUGUAAAGCUCUGUGGAGGGGGACGAAUAAGUGUUGGCUAAUAUCCAGCAUGAUGACGGUACCCCUUUAGCAAGCACCGGCUAACUCUGUGCCAGCAGCCGCGGUAAGACAGAGGGUGCAAACGUUGUUCGGAAUUACUGGGCGUAAAGCGCGUGUAGGCUGCCCCGAAAGUCAGGUGUGAAAGCCCUGGGCUCAACCCAGGAAGUGCACUUGAAACUUCGGGGCUCGAGUUCUGGAGAGGAUGGCGGAAUUCUCGGUGUAGAGGUGAAAUUCGUAGAUAUCGAGAGGAACACCGGUGGCGAAGGCGGCUAUCUGGACAGUGACUGACGCUGAGACGCGAAAGCGUGGGGAGCAAACAGGAUUAGAUACCCUGGUAGUCCACGCCGUAAACGAUGGGUGCUAGGUGUCGCGGGCUUUGACCCCUGCGGUGCCGCAGCUAACGCAUUAAGCACCCCGCCUGGGGAGUACGGCCGCAAGGCUAA
rnacentral:rRNA from 1 species